rnacentral:antisense_RNA from 1 species
AAACUUGAUAAAUCUGAAGACACAAUUCUCUAGUGGGUGAUAUUAUUAAAACACCUGUACCGUUUUUAGGUAAAAAUUUUAUAUUAUAUAAUAUAUUUAUUGAAGGUACAAGAAAAGCUAAUGUUUUUCCGGACCCCGUUUUAGCAGCUCCUA